rnacentral:rRNA from 1 species
UACGAAGGGGGCUAGCGUUGCUCGGAAUCACUGGGCGUAAAGGGUGCGUAGGCGGGUCUUUAAGGUUGGGGUGAAAUCCUGGAGCUCAACUCCAGAACUGCCUUUGAUACUGAAGAUCUUGAGUCCGGGAGAGGUGAGUGGAACUGCGAGUGUAGAGGUGAAAUUCGUAGAUAUUCGCAAGAACACCAGUGGCGAAGGCGGCUCACUGGCCCGGUACUGACACUGAGGAGCGAAAGCCAGGGGAGCAAACGGG